CUGUGCUGGAGAGAGGAGAGCUGUGCGUCAGUAUGCAGCACCGCUGUUACAUUCGGCACCGCUUAAGUGUAGGAUGUUUACCGCAAGUUAUGGCCAUGAAUGCUGUAACAUAUUCUGUAAUUUCCUUUCCAGCGGAAGGAUUUAAUGCAAGAGGGUCAAAUUGGAUACGCUGCACUUUGAAGUAGCCUAAAGAACAAAUCGAGAGGUUCGGGAAAUACAUUACCUCUGCUUACGAUAACUACACCGAUAGAACAGUCCAACAGAAAUGUGAGAAUUGAGAAUGCAAUGCAAACAUCAACAGUAAGAAGAAAAACGGCUACCUUUGGAGAAAGGGUCGAUCGACUAAGAAGCACUCUCUGACGUGUCCAUCGAAACUUUCAACAUGGAAAAGGGAAAUAGCCUUUUAUAUCCUUUUUCUUUUGUAUCCAAAAAUGCGCUCCUUAAGGAAAUCACCCUAUUGGGCUGUGUCAGGAUACUAUGGGAUCAUUUUCAGCGACUUCUUCAGAUGCCCUUUGCAGCCUUGCUCGUAGGUGACUCCUGAACAAGGGCCAGGUAUUAGGAUAAAGUCCAGGCGGACCAAACUCUCUCCGUUAGUCUGCAAUCUGUAGAUGUCGGCGCGUUUAGCUUGUUUCCAUUACGGACUCAUGUCCUUGGAACAGCGAAUGUGUUAUGCGUUUGCUGUUACCUAGCUAUAAGGAAGCGCUUUCCUCGAUAGUAGUUCCUGCUUUGCCGUCCAGCGCCUUCCACAUUAGUUAGAGUCGUUCCACGCAGCAUUUCUGCAGAAAAAAGAAAGUGUCCACAAUUCUCUCCGUGCUCAUAUUCUCAGUUGUAGACUUAGCUGUAAAUAUCACUCGAGUUUGCCCAGAGGGGAAUUAUGUAUGAAGCUGUCUGCGUUUAAAUCGACUACUUUCGAAAUGUAUCAAAACCCGACAUUUCGAAUGCUGACAAUUACUCGUCUCUCUAAAUUCUACACCUUCAGCUUACUGGUGCGUCUUCAGAACUGUCCACCAAGGUUCAGUGCGAUCGAUCUGGUACGAGCCUCAUCUUUUUUCUAAUGCGUUUUGUUGGCCCAUGACGUCACGGACGCAAAACGUCAAUCGUUGAAGCGAAGGCACCUCCUGUACUCUGGCCUUCCCUACCACUGCACGUGAGGUAAAAGAACGACAGCAUUGCACGCGAAUUUUUGACAUUUAACUUGUUGCUUCUUUUACGGUGACCGGGAACAAUGUAACCGAUCAAAUACAUAAGAGAUAACACUAUUUGCUUGGGUCUGCAUUAAUACAGUGAUACGUGCAUCAACACAUUUAAAUAGUCAAAGAAACUAAUCAACGCUUUUCUGUUCAAACCAUGGCCGCCCACUUCGCAUUAUUAUACAUAUGUCUAUUUAAAUUAUUACAGCUGAUCUAUUAACUUUCUUUUUAGAAAGAUUAUUUUGCUUAAAAACUUUGGAGUUACACGGUCGUGCUAAACGUCGAAACUUGUCAAUAAAAGUCUGUGAAGACAAUGUGGGUUUGCCUGCUUUGGUGCUAGAAUUUGGGUUCAGCAGAAAAUAUAGAAAAUUAGAUGCAGUGCGCCAACAUGCGGAGGAAUUAUGGAACUGGCGUGUUCUUCUGAAAGGCACGGAGUAUUGUUUAUUAACGGUCUUUUACUGAAAGUAAAGUAAAACACGAAUCUUUCCACGAACCAGAUAGCUAGAGAAUAAUAUACUACAAAUAUCUCUAGCCAGUUUGCCAACUUGGGCACAUUUUGCCUACUAUCUGGAGUGUAUUUAGCAGUAAGUAAAAUUUACCUACAACUAAUUUUGACCCAUGAUCAUUUGUCUGGCUGGCUGGCAGAUCUCAAACUGAAAACUCUUCUGUAACUUAAGUGCCUUCAAGAAUUAAAAACCUCAAGUUCCUUCAGUCUUCUCCAUACUUCUUCAAAGAGCUUCAAAAGCCUGAUGUGGUCUGAUAAAUGCAUUCUAGAAAAUGAAAUGCAUAUACUGUACAAAAAUGUUCACGUUUAUCCUUUUUGCAGCCUGUUGCACAAGUGUUUUAAAUUCUGUGAGCGUUCAGUACCUCUUAUAACCUGAAGUGUUUAUGCCAACCCUGUACAAGUUUGCACUUGGCAAAUAAAAUAUUGCAUUGAACUUUUCUGCCAAAAAACAGAAUGAUCCAGCUUCAUGAAUAAAUUCAUUUCAUAAAAUAUGUAAUACUUAUUGAUCUACUGACAGUGGAACAGUCCUCCUAUUGAAAUGUUCAGCAGGGAGAGCCAGUCCUGCUGCAUAUCCUAUUCAUGAGAGCAUGCUUCCCCCAUUUUUAAACACAGCUGCUGAAGCAGACAUCAUUGCCUGGUUUCUUUUCCAUGCAAGCAAUGAACUUUAACGACUAAACAUUCUUGCAGAAACUUAAAAUUAAAGAGCAGCAAGCUGCAACUGUCAGGGUGAACCUACCGUGAGCAUCAGGAACAGAAAGCCAAAAAGCACCAAAGCAUGGACUCAAUCUUCUACAAACAGUUCUUUUAAAAAUAUUUUUAAAAAUUAACCGUUAACCCGUCCUCUAACAUACAUAGAAUUUGGACACCAAGUCAGGGUUAUAAAACUUACAUUUACAGUUAAAUAGUAAAGUAAAAUAAAGAUGAAAUUACAUUUUAAAAGACAAAGUUUAUUUCUUUAUAACACAACAGUAGAGAUAAAAAUGGACAUUCAUUCAAUGUUCUUCAUCUACAGCCACACUCAUCCACAAUCAUGUCCUCGUAGUGGCGCAGGACCACAUUGUCAUUGUUGUCGUAAUACAGCAUUGAGAUGGGGGAGAGUUUUAUGGGCACGCAGCAGGGCUGGGGGGUCCCCACAGAGUCCAAAGAGUGGACGAGGGUCUGUAGGAUGGCAUGGUUGGUCCCGUUCAGGCUCUCGCUCAGGGGGAAGGGGCACUCCCCGUGGCAGUAAUUGGCCAUGUACCCCUGGGGAGCGAUGAUCCAGUCCUGCCAGCCCACGUCCUUGAAGUCGAUGUAGAGCCGACGGGGUUUGCACACGUUGCUGGGCGUCACGGGGAGGUAGAGCGCACUCCUCCGCCGCCUGGACCUGCACUGCAGGGGAUUGAGGGACACCACCACCAGCGAGG